GUGCAGCAGUCGCGAAAACUUCACAAUGUGCGAAAGCACGAUGAGGGAAUCCCAAGUGCUUGCACGUAAGUGUAAGCUGUUUCUCUGUCUAAAACGCAGAGAGAGUAAGGGCUGGGUAAGACGGGUGCCAGCCGCCGCGGUAAUACCUGCAGCUCGAGUGGUGACCGUUAUUAUUGGGCCUAAAACGUCCGUAGCCGGUUUAAUAAAUGCCUGGGUAAAUCGGACCGCUUAACGGUUCGAAUUCCGGGUAGACUGUUAAACUUGAGACCGGGAGAAGUUAGAGGUACUCCUGGGGUAGAGGUGAAAUUCUGUAAUCCUAGGGGGACCACCAGUGGCGAAGGCGUCUAACUAGAACGGGUCUGACGGUGAGGGACGAAGCCCUGGGGCGCAAACGGGAUUAGAUACCCG
rnacentral:rRNA from 1 species